CGGGACCUCAGGUCAGG
rnacentral:rRNA from 1 species